rnacentral:tRNA from 1 species
UCCCAGGUGGCUUACUGGUAAAGCAUCUGCCUACCAAUGUAGAAGAUGCAGGAGACGCAGGUUCGAUCCCUGGUUUGGGAA